AAAAAAGAAAAUUAUCAUAAUUAAGGUAUAAAAAAAUGCUAACGAUAAAAAGAAUAAAAGGUCUGAUCGAUGGUAAAAAAAUAUAAGGCCCACUUGAAAGUCCAAUAAAAAUAGAUCGAAAUUCUAUAGGAGGACACUGGACUGAACAUAGAAAACAGGUGGUGUCAGUUAAACAAUUAAAAAUGUAUGGGGAACAUUGAACCCUUGUUUAAUUCACACUUACUAGUUUUCUUCUUAUGUAUCUAUCGAUUCCUUAAAAUAAGGUAGAGAUCCUAUUAUAUUCUUCAUUUUAUGUUUGUGAUUCUCAUUCUUCAAUACAUACCAUUGUAAAUUUGGUUAGGAAUUAACCAUUGCUAGCUUGAAGAAAUGGUUAGCAGAUCCAAUCAAACAAUGCUACUAUUAGAUUGAUUGCUGAUACUAUAUUCAUGCAUUGAGGAAGACUAUAUUGGGAGUCUGAAGCACACUCAUUCUGGAGUCUCUUUUCAACCAUAAAAAAAUAUAUGCUUUGUGUUCUGUUAAACUCUUUACAAGAACUCAAUAGAUUCCCCAAAAGCGAAUCUGAAGACUGAUUUCUCAAACCCAUGCGUCUGUUCACAUGAAGAGAUGGUUACUCUCCAGGAGAAAGGUCAAUGUUGAGAUGAAGCAAUAAAAAGCAAGAGUAAAGACAUGAAGAACCUGAUUGAUCAUGGACAGGAGAUCAUGGACAGAAAAUAAUGAACAUGAAAUCAUGGACAGAAAAUCAUGGACAGGAAAACUGAGCCAAUGAAUGAGUUGUGGAGACUAAUAUGGACGUUGGGAACCUCUAAGAAGUCAAGGUAACCAGUUUGAAUUCAAAAGAAAUGAUCUUGUUUGAAUUAGACAAGAAGAAGUCGCAUGUGUUGCUUUGGAGAAGCAGCUGGACUUGUCACUUUCACUCAAGCAGGUUGUGCCAACCUCUCUCAUGUCCAUUUUUCCCCAUCUGGUCCUGCCUUCCCUUAUCCAUAUUCUCCUUUGGCCUCAUCUCAUUCCCUACAGAAUUAUUUGUUUAUGUUUACCUUGCUUAGUAAUUGCUUAAUCAUGUGUAUUGCCUAUUUAAAGGUUUUUCCAUCACUUGUAACAGAUUAAUCAAGUAUCAAUACAAGUUCCCUCAGACUAAUUUCCUGGCUCUCUCUCUCCCUUACUUGUGUCUAAACAAUAUUCACAAUGUAAGGAGUUUAGAGUUAUGGUUUAUAGGCUGCCUUAACUCCCUUUCUCUUAAGGAAGUCUAAUACUUGUAAAACUCAACAAAGUCUUUUUUAUCUCUUCUUAAACUCUAGCUUACUGAUUCUAAAUUCCAUUCAUCUUAAGUGCACAAACUCUAAAGUGUUGUGUUACUUCUCAAGGAUUAAAUUCAAACUAGAGAUUCUCUGCCUUAUAUAAUCAGUUUAAUGUCUAGGAUUCUUGGUUAUAUUUAUGCUUUUUGUGAGGAUUCAAUCACAAGUUGGUUGUCUCUGAUCUUGAAUUGUGAGUUCAUGUUGUGUGAUUGAAGGGGAUUCAGUUACAAGUUAACUGAAUACUCUCUUGAAAUUAGAAACACUCAUGAAUUCCAAGGCAUGGAGUUAGAACAGUUACCUUCUGGUUGGGAAGCUAUGGAUCAGCUUCUAUAUGAAGUUAGAACAGUUACCUUCAGUUGAAAAGUUAUGAAUCAGCCCAUAGCAUGUUUGCUAGUACCAUGGAAAUUGCUCACUGCCCAACAAUCCUUUGGACACUGAUUGUGUCCAUUAACUCCCAAGAUGAUUGAGAGGAUGAAUGGAGCAGUGGAGAGAUUGCUAAGAAGUGACUUACCUGAUUCCUAGAGGGUGGCAGGAAGUACACUCAAGAGAAAAUGCCACAAUACAAGCCAAGAGGGCCGUGGUCUUAAGGCAUUGGUGAUCAUUGGCUCUCAUCUUCCAAGCUUGGCCACAUACUCUCAUUCUCAGGUCAAGCUUGAGGAGGGGUGUUAAUAUGAGAAGCCAAUGUCCAUCUUCUUAUGCAAGGGAAGUACCUAAAACUAUACUUAUUCUUGUGUGAAUAGGUUUGCCCCUUGAGAAUUGAUGCAUGUGUGUGUGCAUUGUUUGAAUAAGGUACUUGGAGCUUAUGAUAACAGUCUGGUUGUGGAUCAAACCCUUUGAUGAUGGCAUGAUGUCAGAAGAAAGGGGGGAGACAAAGAACCAGCCACAUUGAGACUUCCAAGCAGUUUUGAAUGUGAAGCAAGGAAUGCAUUGGUGCCUCCUUGCCAUUGAAGUAAGGCUAUGAACCAUGGUUUAUGAGUCCUAAACUUGAUCAUAGGACUCAUAAACCCACUGGCCAAUCUCUAGGCUGAGGGUGGUUGCACUCUUUUUCCCUAAGCGAUGGUUUUAUCCCAUGAGGUUUUUCACACUUAGGUUUUUAAUGAGGCAAGUACUCUCAGUUCCAAGCUUGCCCAAAGAUAUCCUAUGGUCAAGCUUGAGGGGGAGUGUUGACAUGAAGAAAUAAAAAGCAAGAGUAAAGACAUGAAGAACCUGAUUGAUCAUGGACAGGAGAUCAUAGACAUGAAAUCAUGGACAGAAAAUCAUGAACAGGAAAACUGAGGCAAGGAAUAAGGUUUGAAGACUAAUAUAGACGUUGGGAACCUCUAAGAAGUCAAGGUAACCAGUUUGAAUUCAAAAGAAAUGAUUUGGUUUGAAUUAGACAAGAAGAAGUCACAUGUGUUGCUUUGGAGAAGCAGCUGGACUUGUCACUUUCACUCAAACAGGUUGUGCCAACCUCUCUCAUGUCUCUUUUUCCUCAUCUGGUCCUGCCUUCCCUUGUCCAUAUUCUCCUUUGGCCUCAUUUCAUUCCCUACAGAAUUAUUUGUUUAUGUUUACCUUGCUUAUUAAUUGCUUAAUCAUGUGUAUUGCCUAUUUAAAAGUUUUUCCAUCACUUGUAACAGAUUAAUCAAGUAUCAAUACAAGUUCCCUCAGACUAAUUUCCUGGCUCUCUCUCUCUCUUGCUUGUGUCUAAACAAUAUUCACAACGUAAGGAGUUUAGAGUUAUGGUUUAUAGGCUGCCUUAACUCUCUUUCUCUUUAGGCAGCCUAAUACUUGUAAAACUCAACAAAGUCUUCUUUAUCUCUUCUUAAACUCUAGCUUACUGAUUCUAAAUUCCAUUCAUCUUAAGUGCACAAACUCUAAAGUGUUGUGUUACUUCUCAAAGAUUAGAUUUAAACUAGAGAUUCUCUGCCUUAUAUAAUCAGUGUAAUAUCUAAGAUUCUUGGUUAUAUUUAUGCUUUGUGUGAAGAUUCAAUCACAAGUUGGUUGUCUCUUAUCUUGAAUGAUGAAUUCCUGUUGUGUGGUUGAAGGGGAUUCAGUUACAAGUUAACUGAAUACUCUCUUGACACGAAAAAACUCAUGAAUUCCAACAGUCAAAAACUAAUAACGUAAAUGAAAAGGUCAAAGAGUUCACAAAAACCUCUAGGGAUAGAAGAUUUCUGUAUCUUCAUGAAGAAUUCAUGAACUAAAUAAUUCGUAUUUCUCACAUGCAAGCAGCACCUGCUUAAGACACAAAUAUGAAUCCACUACCGAACAUGCAACAUUAAUUGUGUUAUGAGAAGAAGAAAGAUUGAACCUCCAUGACGAGGCCACAUGUGACAGGAGAAGGUUUGUGCCCUCUUUGCUUCAACUGUUGCAAAAACCCAGAAGGUUCGUUCCCAUUAGGAAUGUUAAAAUGGGUAAACCCACCCCAUUUAGACCCACCCCAUUUAUAACCCACCCCAUUUAGAACCCAAACCCGUUUAGACCCAUUUAGUUUUAAGGUCUAUUAGGGCUCCCCAUUUAAACCCACAAAUUUUACUUUGACCCAUUAAGACCCAUUUAGACCCAUUUAACUCUUUUUUAAUUUGUUUCAUACAUUUCUUGUUUUAAUUAUAUUGUAAAUCAAAUUUUUUAUGGUACAAAAAUUUAUAUUCUUAGAUAAUAUUGUAAUUUUUAAUGGUUACUACUUAAUUUAAUUUAAAUAAAAUAAAAUGAUAAAAACAAUUUGAAAACCUGUAUAAUAAUAAAAAAUCUUCAAUUGUAAAAGCAAUGUUUGAAACCUUUGGUAUUAAUUGAACUCAAAUGUGGGAACAUAUUAAAACCAAUGCUUACUUGCUAGUUGCUACAUACGACUGAUGCCAGCAAAUAUAUAAUCAAAUAACUAGAAUCUCAAAGUGGCAUUACAAUAACAAAUUUAAUAACUUAAACAAGUUCAAUAAUUUUGUUCUCGUUAUGUUUCCAAACAUAAUAAAAGAAAGUCUCAAACAUGUUUCAUGGUGGUACACUUGAGCCUUCUGAUCUUGAACUUCCAACUCCAUAAGCACUUGUAGUCUUUCCAACAUCAUCUUCCUUGCACAUAUCAUCAACAUCUUCUGUAGUACCUACAAGUCAACCGGUGAAUUAGCAUAAAACACAUUAUACAAUAGUUUUAAUAAAUUAUGAAAUUUACCUUCAUAUUCUGCAAACCCACGCAGCCAGUUGCGGGUACAAAGCAAAGCUUGAACAUUCUUGGGAAGCAAACGGUUUCUGUAGGGAGUUAACACUCGACCACCAAUGCUAAACGCUGAUUCUGAAGCAACCGUGGUAAUUGGGAUACUAAAAAUAUCACGUGCCAUAGUAGCUAAAUCACCAAAUCUAAACUGGUUCUCUCUCCAAUAGCUUAAAACAUCCAAAUCAGGAAAUGACUUUCUAUCUAGCCUUUUUUCCUCCAAAUACACAUCUAAAUGUGUUUUUGUGUUUCCCAUAUCACUUCCAAGGCUUCUUUCUAGUUCAAAGAGAUCCUAAUAUUAAAUUGAAAGUUAGAAGCAACUAGAUCCUGUAAAUGAGUUCAAGCAAGCAACCAAACAGUCGGGUAAAUGAAAAAUAUAAGUUAGAAGCAACUAGAUCCUGAAAAAUGAGUAGUAAUAAUACUGAAAGGUUUCAGCAACUCACUUAUUUUUUCUCCACGAUUCCACUCAUCUUCCACUACAAGAAAUAUGGGUUUUGAUAGCAGUAGAGGAUAGCGUUUUUUGCCUUUCUGCUAUGGUUGACAUACCCUUUAGUUUUAGAUAGCGUUUAUAUAUUUUGAAACGCUAUGAAAAGAUGAUAUAUUUAAAAACGCUAUGAUAGCAUAUUUUUAAUAGCACAAAAUUAAAAACGCUAUGUUUGUCUUUUUAAAUCCCUAAAACGAAUUUUUAAACCCCAAAAUCUAAACACAAACUUUAAACUCUAAUAUUCUAACAUUAAAUCUUAAAUUUAACUUAAAAUAUUAAAUAUAAAAUUAAAGUUAUUUCUUUUUAAAAAUUAAUUGCAAAUAUCAAUACCCUAAACCUUUAACCAUAUACUCAACCUCUAUUCUAAACUCAUAACUUUAAAUUUAAACUCUAAAUAAAAAAAUAAUUAAACUUAAAUCUAAUUCUUAAAAUAAAUUCAAAUUUGGUUUCAAACUUUAGCUUUAAAAUCUUAAAUCAAUACUCCAAAAUUUUAACCCUCAACCCCUAUAUAUAUAUAUAUAUAUAUAUCAUACUCCAAAUUAAUCAUAUACCCUAAACUCUAACUAAAAUAUUAAAACUCUAAUAUUUUAUAUUAUUUAACUUUAAAUUGCAUAUUGCUUAUAAAAGUAAAAUCUAAUCAUCUUAUUAAUCAUAGUUAUUUUGCUGAGUUUGUUAAUCUUAAUUUUAUUUGACUUAAAUUGCUUGUAGAAAGUGAAAUAUAAGCAUUUUGUAAUCUUAUAUCAUUAGUUUUAUAAAAUCAAUAUAUAAAUUUAAAAUUUAUAUUUUUAAAAGUUUAGUCACAAAUCUUAAUCCCACAAUCUAACCUAUACUAAAAGGUGAAUAUGAAGCCUUGUGAGACUAUCCACGUCAGAAAAAAUAUUUAACCAAUUAAAACAUUUCUUUUUACCACGUCACAGAUAGAAAUGAAAAUGUUGGACCUGAUUUUUUUUAUCUGUUCCAAAAUUUCCGUGUGGCCUGUUAAGCCCAAACUUGAGAUGCUGAUUUGUUGAUAUGUUUCGUCUCUUCUACUUCUCCAUCUCUGUUGCCGAUUCUUUCACCUCUGUUUUUUUUUUGUUGGUAAAACCACCGUUUCUUUUAUGGUAAAACCUCCGUUUUUUUGAUGAAACCAACCUCAUUAAUUUUUAUCAAUAAAAGCAGAUGGAUUGUUGGUUGUGCGGCUGUGCGAUUGACAUCAAAAUUCACAAAGGAUGAGUCCCCUGUUCGUUUUAUCAACGCUGCGACAAGCCGCGGCAGCUCAAAAUCAUCUCUUCAGUUACGGCAAACACGUGACUCGCCGAUUUGUAGGCCGUUCGUUCUAGAUCCACCAUUGAAGUGGGUCUCUUCAGAUUUGGGAAUCUUGGAAUGGGAAGAAAUCCGGUGAAUUUAUGGGGGUUAGUAUGCUUCUCCUUGAUGGAAAAUUAAUUCCGGUAAGCAAACACAUGACCACCUUCCAAUUUCAUGAAGAUUUUAUACUUUACAAUUCAUAGAAAAGUAGUCUACUUUUGUUUCUUUCACUUUUCAUUUCAUCUGUUUGAAACCUAGAAUACAUGCCUAGACAGGUCAUGUCUGAACUCUUUCAUUCUUCUCUCUUCCAUGGAUCUGUUUCUUAAAAUUAUAGCACUUCAUUACUGAGCUUGGAAGCUGUCUGUUCUUCUGUAGACGCCACGCCGUCAAUGGUUUACGGUUUCUGAGAAAAGGGACCCUUUUCAAUAAAGCAUAAAUCUUUGCUAAUAUUGUCGAAUCAAUUGAUGAAUGGUUAUAAAGGUAUAGUUUUUCUUUUUGUUGUUAUUGCAGUUACUUUGUCGAAGACAAAAAGAAAGGAAGGGAGGGAGGGAGCACAAGGAGAGUGUUGUUAAUUAAAACAGAGAGGCUGUCAAGAAAUAAUUCUGAAUAUGCUUUCUCUUUUGAAAACAUGAGAAAUAUCAAAUUCAAGGAGUUCAGACAACAAUAUAGACACAAUGGAAGGUCGGUUUCUUUGUUGUUGUUUUUGUAACUAUGAAUAAAUGGGCGUUGCUUGAAUGUAAUUGAGAUUAAUAUAUGUACAUUAAGUCUUUGAUUUGUAGUUUGGUUCUUAUUGGUUCAGGCUCAAACAAAGUGAUGCAGGUUGUCUUGGUCAUUCUGCUUCUGAUGAAAUCCGUCAUGCCAUCUUUAGAGCCUCAAGGUUGUGUACUAUGUUUCUUAAAGUUGUAUUAUACUUGGUCUAAACUGUUGUCUGAUGCGUUUUUGCAUAUGUUUUGGAAUGUUUUUUAAGCUGCUUUAUGGUGAUGCUGGACUUCUUAUUGCAGAUAUGCCAAAUGAAGAGGUUGAAAAGCUUAUUUAACGCGAUGACUUAUUUAACGCUUCUGAAAGUUCAGAAUUUUCAAGGACUAGAAGCACUGCUGUAGAAACGGCUUGUUGGCUUUUCCUGAUACUACUUCUGGAACACACUUCUAUUUUGGCAAUGAAUGUCUCACCGGCCAGAGUUUUCUAGCAGCGUAAGAGAUUCCAUACUAACUGUUGUUUAUGAAAUCUGAUACACACUGUUCUCCAAAGACGGAUUAAUUUUUUUUAGUAGUUUAUCUGGAUCUGAUGAUGGUUACAGCUUCACAUCUUCCAAGUAUGGAGAUGUGCGAAAAAAUGAAACAGUUACUCUUGCUGAACUGAACAAUUACGUACUGAACUCUCCACCGCAGGUUCGUCCACUUAGUUCGUUUUAUAGCUAUAUAUGUUUGAUUCUCUGAAAUCAUCAAGACAGUCCGGUGGACCCAACAACACAAGCUCCUCAAACUUCUGCUCCCAAGAAAUUUCUGAUGCCCAAGAAGACCCAUUGCAUUUAAGAGAUCCAACGCAGGAGUUUAUGAGUUAUAAACAGAGGUUGCGGUCCCAUUAGCUAUCUAGAAUUUUAAGUAUGAGUCCAAUAAUAAAGUAGUACUUUCCGUUCUCACCGAACCCAGCGUAAUCUGGUUAUUUUCUUAUUACGGUUUAGUUUUGGUUUCAAAUUUUUUGUUUCGAUGGUAUCAAUUUUUUUUACAGCCGAAGGUAUAAAUCUUAAGACUUUAAAAUGAAGAUAAGUGUACCUCAUGUUGUAAGAUGAAUUAUUAAACAGCACAACUAACAGACAGAUUAGAACGACCCAAUUUAGUUUUACCAGUGUGACUUGAUUCAUAAAUUGAAUUUAAACAUCCUGUGGAGUUGCACAGAAAAUAUCAUCCACGCAUUGGCAUCUUACAUCAAGCAAAGCCUGCGCAAUUGUACAUCGUCAAUCGUAAACAUUGAAAC